UUUCCGUAGGUGAACCUGCGGAAGGAUCAUUAGCAAGUUCGAGGACGCCCCAAUCCUGACCCCUCCCGGGGGCGCGGCCGAAGGCGUCCCGACAAACGGUGGUCGAGGCGGUCGAUGUUCUCGCCGCUUCGCCAGCCCACAAACCCUCUCGGUGUACCUUACCCCUGUUGCUUUCCCGGGCGUCGAACCGCCCGGGAAAAGACCAAAGCCAACCUUGUAAUUAGUCGUCUGAUCCGGAUGGCUAGCACGCCGUCCGCAGAAUACAAAAAGUUUAAAACUUUCAACAACGGAUCUCUUGGUUCUC
rnacentral:misc_RNA from 1 species